ACAAAAGUUUGGACUCCUUUCUUUUUGAUGAAACAAGAAGGUCAAUCUUGGAUUGGAGAAAACGCUUUGAUAUUAUCGUUGGGAUUGCUCGUGGAAUCUUAUAUAUUCACCAAGAUUCUAGGUUGAAAAUUAUCCAUAGAGAUCUAAAAACCAGCAAUAUCCUAUUGGAUGAAGAAAUGAAUCCAAAAAUUUCAGAUUUUGGCCUAGCUAGAAUCUUCAAAGGCGACGCAACUCAUGAGAAGACAAACAGAAUAGUUGGAACAUUUGGGUACAUGUCUCCAGAAUAUGUGGUAUUUGGAAAGUUUUCAACGAAAUCUGAUGUCUUUAGUUUUGGCAUCAUAUUAUUAGAGAUUAUUACAGGGAAAAGGAACAAUAGCUUUUAUCAAGAGGAUUUUUACCCAAGCAUGAUAGGAAAA
rnacentral:misc_RNA from 1 species